rnacentral:rRNA from 1 species
CCCUUAGAUGUUCUGGGCCGCACGCGUGCUACACUGACCGGCGCAACAAGCUUUUUUCCUUGGCUCGACAGGCCUGGGUAAUCUUCGAACGCCGGUCGUGAUGGGGAUAGACUUUUGCAAUUUUUGGUCUUCAACGAGGAAUUCCUAGUAAACGCAAGUCAUCAACUUGCAUUGAUUACGUCCCUGCCCUUUGUACACACCGCCCGUCGCACCUACCGAUUGAAUGGUCCGGUGAAGCCUCCGGAUUGGCGCGCACCUCGGUGCCGCCGAGAAGUUGGCUAAACCUUACCAUUUAGAGGAAGGUGAAGUCGUAACA